UAAGGACACAGGGCAAUACAUCUUGA
rnacentral:piRNA from 1 species